AGAGUUUGAUCCUGGCUCAGAACGAACGCUGGCGGCGUGGAUAAGACAUGCAAGUCGAACGAGAGAAUUGCUAGCUUGCUAAUAAUUCUCUAGUGGCGCACGGGUGAGUAACACGUGAGUAACCUGCCCCCGAGAGCGGGAUAGCCCUGGGAAACUGGGAUUAAUACCGCAUAGUAUCGAAAGAUUAAAGCAGCAAUGCGCUUGGGGAUGGGCUCGCGGCCUAUUAGUUAGUUGGUGAGGUAACGGCUCACCAAGGCGAUGACGGGUAGCCGGUCUGAGAGGAUGUCCGGCCACACUGGAACUGAGACACGGUCCAGACACCUACGGGUGGCAGCAGUCGAGAAUCAUUCACAAUGGGGGAAAUCCUGAUGGUGCGACGCCGCGUGGGGGAAUGAAGGUCUUCGGAUUGUAAACCCCUGUCAUGUGGGAGCAAAUUAAAAAGAUAGUACCACAAGAGGAAGAGACGGCUAACUCUGUGCCAGCAGCCGCGGUAAUACAGAGGUCUCAAGCGUUGUUCGGAAUCACU
rnacentral:rRNA from 1 species